UCUCUCCAUUUUUUCCACAUCUAUUGAUUUCAUAGAUUAGAUAAACAAAAGAAAGAAAGAAAAAAAACAUCCGAUCCUCUAUUUCCAUCUCCAUCUGAACUCCAUCUAUCUGAUAGAUCUGAAUUAUUGAAGACCAAAGCCAAAUCUGAUUUGUUGGAGACCAAACCAAAUCCGGUUUCAAAGAAGGAUUGUCAUGGAGAAACCAAAGUGGGUUUGAAUACUAUUUUAGAUUUUCACUCUUGGAAACAGACCAUCUCGAUGAGGAAAUAACAAGGGGAUAUAUUUUUGUAGGUCUGAUGAUAUGAUUCAUAUAUGAAUGAUGACGAUAUAAAGUGUUUUUAAAAAGGAAAAAUUCACCAGUUGGUGCAGGGAAGCAAAUAGAAAGAAAUUUUUUAGGCAAAAAUUUAAUGCAUUUAUCCACUUCAGAUAAUUAUUGUGUAGUUGAUUGGAAACAAAAGUCUGGUCACUCUCCGACCGGUAGAUGGCAAACAACUUCCGGCACGUCCUGUUACCAGAAGCUUUUGUGCACAAUUACUCGCCAAUGCACAAAAAGAAACAGCCAAAAACAAGAAGGGUCUUGUAGUUGGUGCAGUCGUGUAAUAGAUCCGUCAAGAAAGAACUAUGAGCCAUUUUCAAGGAAAGCAAGAUAGAGGGGGUUGGGCGCCUGUGGACUAGGUUGCUCACUGUGAUUAUGCAUGUGCAUUACUAUUGUUUUUGUGCGUGUAUGUGAUUGUAGAUAUAUAUGUGUGGUAUCGAGGUUAACCAAGGAUUUAGUGGAAACAUGCAGAAUAUGCAAUCCUCAGUUCAUAUAUUUAGAGGACUUAAACCCAAAGCGGUUUUUGACAAGCCCAUCUGCUGGAGUACUCAAUGAUGGUCAUGAUUAUGCAAAUUCAGACCUUAUUCUGACUGUGAACUAGGCCUUGGUGAAUUCAGAAACUCAUAGAAGAUAUAUUGUAAAAGACAUACAUGGGCAGGGGACAUUUGGGCAGGUUGCUAAAUUCGGGGUUGCAGAACUUGAUUGUUUCGUUGCUGUGAAGGUCAUUAAAGAUCAACCUGCUUGCUAUCAGCAGGCCCUGGUCGAAGUGUCCAUUCUGACAACGGAUAUACACACGCAUUCUGUUCGUAGUCCACUUGCAACAACCGUGGAGUUUGUAAGAUUAUAAAUGCUUCAACCUGAAAGGUAUAUAAUACAAUAGUAGAGGUGGAGAAAUGGAUGGGUCGUGUAAUGGGCGAAUAUAGGUUCAGGUCAUAACAGGUAGUAUCUAAGCUGGGGUAGGCUGAGUUGAAUAUGUUGAAACACUUAUACCAAUUUAUAUUGUAUGUGCCGGUUAAAGAUCACUUUGUAUAUAUAUACAAUAUUUUUGCGACUUCACAAUAACUUGACCAUAUAUUAUGUGUA